AGGAAGGAAGGAAGGAAGGAAGGAAGGAAGGAAGGAAGGAAGGAAGGAAUACACACACAUGCAUAUACAUAUACAUAUGCAUACAUUAAAAUAAAUAUACUUCAAUAUGUACAGAAAAAUUCUAGGCUAAUUUGCAUGACCCCAAGCUAUUCAUAAAGUACUUGGAAUUGCAUUAUAAUGCUAAUUUGGGAGUAGUGUGCUCAACAUAGAACUAACCAGUCUCAUAUUCAUAUAGAACUCAUAUAAUAGUUAUUUAUUUUAAUUUUGAGAUUAAGGAAUUGUUAAUCAUAUUACAAGAAAUAUUCAGUUAUGCCCUAUUGUUUUUUUAACUACUAUAUCUGGCAUGUCAAACUGCCGGCAAUGGGGGGGAAAGUCCCAAUACGUUGCGCAACGUCAUGUGAUGUCAUGAGUUUGACAUGCCUGCACUAUAUGAAUAUACUAGUUGCCAUGAUGAAACAAGUGCCAUUGAAAACAGAAGAGAAACAUACUUCAAUCCUUGGAUGACAGAGAUUCCACCCGGCCCAAGAAGCACCAGCAAUCCUGAUGAGCAUUGGUCCAUUACUUUCCCAUCUCCCAAGGUUUUUCCUACAUUAUACUUGUUUCACGUUAGCUGUUUAUAAUCAUCUCCUAAUUAUAGCUGCCCAUUUGGCCAGCACGUUCUAUAUAUUAGGUUUUCAAGUUCUUUGAAAAAUACACUUUGGAACAAAAUAGCUGUGUGUUCGUACACAUGUGGAGACAGAUAGAAGAACCUUCUGAAGUAUCCAUGUGAAUUGGGGAGACUCUAUGGCUGCUUUAGUGUGUAAAAAAAGGGGUGCUAACAUAUACAUUCCCAUGUGAUUCAAAGUACUUAUCUUAAAGGAGUUGUCCAAUUGUACUCUAUAAUAUAAUCAACCCCUAUGUAAUGAAUUCAGGGAGAACAAAAUCUCUGCCUGGACAUACUCCUUACCUAAUUCAUAAUUCUAUUGCAUCUGAAGUAGUUGCACAAGGCAUAUAAAUUUAUGUUGCAUUAUGAUAUAUUUGUCACAUUCAUCUGUCGUGAUGCUGCUUGUAUUUUAUAGGAUUGACAGUUGCUUCCAGACAGAGAAUAGACACACAGUAUUCUGCAUCUCAAGUAGAUUUUGGCAAGAACACAAUAAAUAGAUGUCAUCAAAUCCUUCCUUUUCUGUUAGUUAGGGAAAGUAUUUGUCUUCUUAAAAAUGCUGGAAAUUAGCAUUUAGCAUUUCUCCCCAGCCUCAGAUUGAAAUUGGGAUUUAGUAAAAGCAGGAUUUUCCAAGUAAUAAACCAACACAGGGUAAUAGCUAUUCUAAGAAUCAUCAAUUUUCUAAAGGAAUAAGAAAAAGUUAGCUUAGGACUAUGCUAAGUUAAUUUUUUUCCCCUGUGUUACUUAAGCAAACUGGCAUUAUUUUGUGAUCUAUCAAAAAAAGAUACCACAUUUUCAUGUAUAGGUAGUCUUCCACUUAUGAUCAUAAUGCAACCUGCCCAUUGUGAUCUUAGUCAUGAGGGUCGUAAAGCAAGUUAUCAGGUGACUGACUCAAUUUUACAACCUCUUUUUUCCCAGUGAUUGUUAAGCAAAUCAGCAUGGUUAAAGAAAUAAAGGCAGGGUAAAAAUAAAACAAAUACAUCCGGGAUCAUUAAGCAAACCCAUUGUAGGCUAUGGGGUGUUUUUUUUAGUAGAAAAUGGAAGUAAAUGCCAGGUUUUGGCAAAAAUGUCAUAAAUCACAAUCAUGUGACUAUGGGACACUGCACCUCAGUGUAUAGUCAUGUUGGCUACAUAACCAUAGAAAUGUCUUCAGACAAUGUUGUCUCCCUCAGCUAGGAAACGGAGAUGAGCCCCCUACAGUAGAGUCAGAAACAACUGGACAGCGGAAACCUUCAUCUUUAUACUACCAUUAGGAUGAGGGUGGUAGCAAUAAUUAACAAACACCUACAUGAAGGCAAGAAGGCAGGGCAGGAUGUGUAGAUCCAGAGGUUUUCUAAGAAAAGAAAAUUGAAAGCUAUGUGUUGAGCCUUGUUGCUACAGCAUCAAUUGACAGCAUUCACAUUAUGACAUAAAUGACAUAAUCAUCACAAAUAAUAACAACAACAAUAACAAUAAUAAAAACAACUUUAUUGUCACUUUGAAUGUACAUCAAUUGGCAUACAUCAAAAUGAAAUUUCAUUGCAUACAGCUCCCAAAGGGCCACCACCUCCGAUAUACACUCUUUGUUCGUGGCCAGCUCAAGUUUCAGAACAUCCAUGAUAAUGUACCUUCAGAGUUAAUGGACAUUAGGGAGUAACCCACAAUUCCUCCCCCCAAAUGAUCUGCCAUACUGAGGUUUUACUGUACUGAUUUGCAUUAGACUUGUAAUAAUCAGGGAUAACAAGAACAGAAUUGAAUCAUACAUGAUUCUAGCCGCAUGAUGUUUGGAUAUAUAUGUUAGUUUUGUGUGGAUGGGAAAGAUGUAGCCCCACAUAAGUGUAGCUGGAAUAAAUAUAUUUAACCAUUACUUGUUCUCUGGGUGCUGAUUUUCAGAUUGUAAUUUUGGGAGACACUUUUUUUCCCUUCUCUGUGUUGUGCUGUAAUAGAACUGUAAUCUCUGAGAAUACCUGUGAACUUGGUAUAUUAUAUUAUACUUUGUACAAGGAUCUGUAUUUCAGUUGGAAUGGACUUGGAAAAAAAUACUUUUUAAUGGUUAGGCUCUUGAAUUUACUUAUUCCGCUCAUAGUCAGAGAUUGACUUUCUCAGAUAAUCUGCCUUACAGGAUUUUUGUGAAGAAGAGAAACUUGGUAUGACAUUCUGAAGUCGUUGGAAGAUAUUUUGCUAAAAUACAGUUCCAUCUUUUAAGAUGAUGUUUUUCUAGUCUUUGUUUCCAGAGAAAAGUGAGAGAAAGUGUGUGGGCAAUGAAUUAUGUCUCAAAAGCCAGCAGGAUGGUUAAAAUAAGAAUUCUAGUGAUCUGUUCUCAAGAUUCUCACCGAAGUAGCAUAAAUUAUGCAAAAUAAAAGAAUAGAAGUGACAACAGAACUCAGAAGAUUGUGUACCAUUUAUUUUGCAUAGAUUUAAAUGACAAGUGCCAGCUUUUUGCUGGAGGAAUAUAAUAACUAAAUAACUAAAAAUAAAACUUAAACAGUGUAUUAAAAAUUAAAGCCACAAUUUUUAUUUUUAUUAUAAAUCAAGUGUGCUUUAAAUAAAGGAAGCAUUUUUAAAUUUAUUCUUUUAUUGCUUUUAAAAUAAUGACAGAGUGAUAGAAAAAAACCACAAGGAUAAAAAUACAUGCAUUGUCAAAGAAAAGAAAAAAGGAAAAAAAAGACAUAGUAAGUGUAACAAAGGAAGAAAAAAAUGGUAUAAUAUAUCAUUUUAGUUAUAUAUAGUUAUAAUUCUACAUACGGUUUCUAUAUUUCUAAUGUAUUUAUAUAAUCAUAUUUUAACCUGAGUUUUGUAUAAAUGGGUCCUGUAUUUCGUAUUUGUUCAUGCAAAAUCUGCAUCUAUAGGCAAUCCACUCAUAGGUCUUUAAUCUAUUGAGUGAAAGGGGGCAUACAAUUAUCUUUCCCAUGCAGCAAUCUUUUGGCCAUGGUAAAGGCAUGGAGAAUCCAUUUAUAUUGUCCAGUUGUCAGAUUCCAAGUACUAGGAAUGUAGUUCAAAAGAAUAUUAUUGCCUGAAAAUUUUAGCUUCUCCAGCAUGAUUAAGAAGAAUCCACCAAUGGGUUAUCUUAGUCCUACUGCCCAAUCAGACCAAGUUGUCAAGUUGUCACGCCUCCUCAUUAUCUGGGGACCUCCCAGUUUUCUUCUUGGUCUUCGCCCAUUACAGACGUGAUUUCUUGACUCUACGUUGGAGCAGGUCUGAUAGAAAAUUUACUCAUUGGUGGAUUCUUUAAAAGAGUUUAGCAGCUUAGUUGAGAGUUUUGUUUUCCCCUCUGUAAGGAUUUGCUGCAUUCCCCUCCUCAGGGUUAGGUUAAAACUUUAUAAGGAAAGGGGGGGUGGGUUUUUCACUUCCCCAGAUUCAGUAUCCUGCUGAAUCAGCAAACAAACCUCACCCUACACAGUGGGGGGGGGGAGGUUUAACCUAUUGCAUUUCAAAAGUGUUGUUAAAAACAAAACAAAAAAAACCCCUCAGUUUCACGUGCGGUUCCUUUCCUUGCUGCUUUCAGUUUUGCAGCCUCUGCUGCUUUCAGUUUUGCAGCCUCGUGGCUUCUCCCUAGCCGGGCUCGGCUAGGGACUCUUAGCAGCAGCCAUUUGAAUUUCAAAAGGCCUAAUCUCACUUCUAAACACCUUUUUUACUGCUGCAACAAAGGAAAGCCCAACGGUGGCCUUACAAUCACCUAAAGCCACUGUGGAAGCAUUAGGAGCCUCGUGGGGCAGCAGUAAAGCUUUUUGCACCUAAUGGCUGUUAGGCACAAACCCCUGCUUCUCGGGCCAAAGCAGAUUCCAAUUAGCCUCGUUCGUGGCAGUCACUGGCCCUUUGCACUGCAGCAUUAAUCCCUCGCCAUUUUGAAUUAAAAAUAAUAAUAAUAAAAAAAAUAAAAAAUAAUAAAUUUAAAUAAAUAAAUAAAUAAAUAAUAAGUAAAUAAAUCUAAAUUGAAUGCAAUAACGGGGGUGAACUACAAAUGUUAAUUGUAUUAAACUAGAUUGAUUAACAAAAUUGCUGGCUCCUUCAUCUGAGUCUCAGUUUCAGCCAUCUCCUGAUCCAUGCACCUGUGAGCAAGAGUGUGGUACUAACAGCAGCUCUGGUUCUUCAGCCUGGUCGCCAUAUUGCCUGUCUGCCCUUCUGCAUCUGGUGGCUGUUCCAGCAUCCUGACCAUCGCCACUACUGUGGGACACGUGUGAUUCUUCUCCACGUAGGUCAGUCCCCCGCGGGGGCCUCUGACGUCCCUUGCAGAACGAAUCAGGCCAAAGGCAACCUUGGGUUGAUUUCGAUGGAAAUGGCAGACCCUUCUGAGCCAUGUUCCUUGGACAUGGACGUCAUUCCCGCCUCAACUGAGCCGACACCCGAGCCUCCAUCAGGUAAGGCGAGGUCCAAGUCUAAGCACGGCAGGAAAGCUGGCACGGCGAGCGACAAACUGGCUGAACGCACCCACAGAGCUCUGGAGAAGCAAUUCUCCCGGGCCCAACGCUUGUCUGCUGAAGGAGGUCUCACAUUGCCAACCUCCGUACCACUGGACAGGGGAGAGCCUCAACCAUCCACAUCCAGAGUAUGGUCGCCGGAGACGGGGUAUCAAUCAACAGGUCCCAACUCGGACUCUUGGUCAGGUAGGCCCACCCGUGUUUGGGGAGAACUUUGCCUUGCCAGGUUCAUCUGCAGCACCCACUGCUGCCAGCAUACCACCUGCUGCGGGGUUAAGGCUUCCGCUAGAGCAGUCCGUCUCCGACCAGCUCCAAAUGUGGAUAUCACAGGCAGUGUGCCAAGCCAUGGCAUCAGCGAGUCAUCAACAAGCCCCCUCCGUUCCAGGACCAUCCUCUUCUUCGGCACCAACAACUGCCGUGAGGCCUCCACUGGAUCAGUCAGGUAUGGUCUCUCCCUCCCAAUCCCCUGAUUCGGACCCAGAUGUUUCAGAUUACGGGGGAGGCAAGGAUGGUUGGUUGGAUUGCGAGGAACCAUCUUACGAAUCCCAACCCAUGGCGGAGCUUUUUAAUGCUUCGCUAUUUCCGGCUUUGUUACGCAGAGCGUGCGAGGCAAGUAAGCUUUCCCCUCAGUCAGUACCAACCCCUCAGCCUUCCUCCGAUCAGGAAACCAAUCCUUUGUUUGCUGUGCCUGUAGACACGCACCUCCAUAUCCCUUGUCCACAGCUGUUCUUCCAAAACGUGCAGGAUCAGUGGGAAUCACCAGCAGCCCAGCAAUCUCAAAACACGCCUGAGCGCAAAAUGGUAGACAUGCCUAAGGCAUUCGGAGACCUACUAGAGGUCCCAAAAGUGGAUGAAUCGCUGGCACCGCUUUUCUCCACAGCCAGCCUUCCAGCUGAUGUAUCCGAUGCCCUUAAGGCAGAGGAUAAAAAAUCUGAAAUGGCCUUACGCAAAGCGCACUUGGCAUCUGCCUGGGCUGUGAAGGCAGCGACGGCCACUUCCUUCUUUGCAAGAAUCUCUAUCACCUGGCUGCGUCAGCUGCAGGAUAGAAUCCCACUUGAGGAAACUAGAAUGCAUCAGGAUCUAACAAAAAUACUUGCCACAUCCGAAUAUAUGGCCGAUGCCUCUCUGUAUUCAGCCAAACAUUCAGCCUGGGCUAUGGCUUCCAACGUGGUAGCUAGGAGACUCCUGUGGCUAAAAAAUUGGAGGGCCGAAAGUAAGCAUAAGUGGCGUGCGGCCACAGCCCCUUUCAAAGGUGGCAAAUUAUUUGGGGAUGCACUAACACCGUACUUAGUUGAAAAUAAACAGAAGCAAAAGGUGAUCUCCCACGUGGCAAAGAGGUCCACAAGACGGUUCACCCCUUACAGUUGCUGGCAGCCCUUUCGGGCAGGGACAGCAACAGAGUCGGCACAACCGUACCGACCGGUCGCUCCCAAACAGGAGCGUUCACUGGACAGGACAGGUUAUAGAGACAGGUCCAGAUACCAGCCACAACCCAAAAAUUCCUUUCGUGGCCGAGGGGGUCGGUCCUUCCGCCGAGGCAAAUGACUCGGAGGGAAAUCCCCCCAUUGGCGGCAGGCUCACUCACUUUACUCGCCAGUGGGAAAACACGACCACAGACUCCUGGGUGUUGCGUACCAUAAGGGAAGGCCUGUCCCUGGAGUUCAAAUCCGUUCCUUUCAAUCUCUUUGUGUCUUGCCCAGCCAUGAGAAACCCAGUAAAGAGGGGACUCAUGGAGGACUCUAUACAGCAUCUUCUAGCCAUCAAGGCGAUAGAGAAGGUUCCCCCAAGCCAGGCAGGGCAGGGAUAUUACUCAAUCCUAUUUGUAGUCCCAAAGUCUUCGGGGGGAUGGAGGGCAAUCCUCGAUCUCAAGGGAUUGAAUCUUCACCUUCAUUACAAACGGUUCAAAAUGCAAACAUUGCACUCCAUCCUAACCAGUAUCAGGCGGGGAGAUUUAUUAACAUCCAUAGUUCUGAAGGAGGCAUAUCUCCACAUCCCUAUUCUCCCAGCUCAUCGCAGGUACUUAAGAUUCUGCUAUCUCAACCAUUUUCAGUACAGAGCCCUUCCUUUCGGCCUCUCUUCAGCCCCCAAGGUCUUCACCAAAAUCCUGGCAGUGUUGGCGGCUCACUUGCGGCUGGUCCCAGUCAGGGUCCAGUGCUACCUGGACGAUAUCCUGAUCCAGUCCCCGUCAGUCUCAGCCGCCCAUUCGGAUUUGACCCUUACUAUACAGACUCUUCAGGCCCACGGCUUCCUGAUCAACUUCAAAAAGAGCCAGAUGAAUCCAUCUACCCGUUUGCUUCACCUGGGAGCAGUAAUAGACACGGAAUCAUGUCAUGUGUACCUGUCAGAGGAGAGACGCAGGAGCAUCAGGGACUUGGCUCGCAAGGUACGCAGGGACAGAACCGUGGCAUUAGCCACGCUUUCUCAGCUCCUGGGCAAACAGAUCUCAUGUAUAGCAAUCGUGCCGUGGGCUCGGCUACAUACCCGUGAGCUUCAGUGGUUUCUUCUCCCAUACCAAAGACAGCAUACCAGUACGUCCAACAGACGGGUUCGGGUUCCCUGUCAAGUAUGGUUUUCCCUUGGCUGGUGGACUUCAUCAGCCGUCAGCAAAGGGACCCUGUUCAAAGAACCCAACCGCCUUCAGGUGACCACGGAUGCCAGUCUCUUCGGCUGGGGGGCUCACCUCCAAUCCCGGAUAACUCAGGGUCGGUGGUCGCAAGCAGAUCUCAAACACAACAUAAAUUGGUUGGAGCUCAGAGCGAUUUAUCUAGCUCUUCAAAAAUUCCACACAGAAGUCAGGGGCCAGCAUGUACUGAUUCAAACAGACAACGUGGCUGCAAAGGCCCACGUGAACUGGCAGGGGGGCACAUGGUCAAAAUCCCUCAUGACAGAAGCCCGAGCAUUGGGCACCUGGGCAGAGAAACACCUGCUCUCCAUCAGAGCCGAACACAUUUCAGGGGAGGCAAAUCGACAGGCAGAUUUCCUCAGCAGGUCGACAAUAGAUCAUUCGGAGUGGAUGCUUCAUCCAGAUAUCUUCAGGGAGAUAUCAGCCAAAUUCGGCAGUCCGAUCAUGGACCUGUUUGCCUCCCCAGAGAACGCUCAGCUUCCCAGAUUCCUUUCCCGGUUCCCUUCUUGGGGAGCAGAGGGAAUGGAUGCGCUUCGCAGCAGGUGGCCACAAGGCCUAUUGUAUGCCUUCCCCCCAUUGCCUCUACUUCCUGCAGCAAUCAGGAAGCUCCUGGAGGAACAAGCGGAGGUGAUCGUCAUCGCCCCUUACUGGCCCAGGAGACCAUGGUUCGCAGAUCUGGUGAGUCUUUCAUUUUCAGCUCCAUGGAGGAUUCCCGACAGCCAAAUAAGGCUGAUACAGGGAGAUCUACAACAUCCAGAUCCAUAAUGGCUUCAACUGACCGCCUGGCACUUGAACGCCGCGCCCUAACCAGGGAAUCUUACUCAGCGGAGGUGAUUGCUAUGAUACAGGAGGCCAGGAGACCGGCAACGAACCGGCUUUAUGACCAUACAUGGAAGCAUUUCAGUCAAUGGUGUGAUAAGAAACACGUAAGUCUAUCACAGGUGACGAUUCCCAGGAUCCUGGAAUAUUUAAUGGAGGGCGUCAACAAGGGGUUGGCACCCAACACUUUGCGCAGACAGUUAGCAGCCCUGUCCUCAAUUUUGUCAUGGGACUCCUCGAGCUCCUUAUCAAGACAUCCAGCCAUUCGGGCUUUUCGUAAAGGGGUCUCGAAUACCAGACCGCCUGUUAUUCACAGGUAUCCCCCCUGGAACCUACCCUGAGUGCUUCAAGCUCUAACAUCUUCUCCUUUUGAACCACUCAAAAUGUGCUCAUUACGACAUUUGUCAUUCAAGGUCUCCUUUCUCAUUGCCAUUACCUCGGCCAGGCACAUUUCAGAGUUAGCGGCCUUGUCGGUUAGAAAAGACCUAUGCACAUUCCACGAGGAUAGGGUAGUUCUCAGGCUUGACCCUUCAUUUAUUCCAAAUGUUAACAUGGUUUUCCAUAGGGCACAGGAGGUUAUCCUCCCAAAUUUUUGCCCUCACCCGUCACAUGAAUUGGAACAACGCUGGCACACUUUGGACGUAAGGAGGGCCUUGCGAUGUUAUAUCAAGCGCACUAAGCCCUUCCGUAAGUCAGAAACCCUAUUUGUGUCCUUUCAGCCUUCGUCUAUGGGGCAAAAGGUUUCAGCUUCCACCAUAGGGAGGUGGAUAAGGGCCUGUAUUUCAAGCGCUUAUGUUUCCCUGGCCUUACCAGUUCCUCCUCAUGUGACGGCUCACUCUACCCGCAGUGCUGCUACAACUGCGGCGUGGGCAACACAGGCGUCCAUUGAGGACAUAUGCAGGGCGGCGACACGGUCGUCGCCAUCUCCAUUCAUUAGACAUUACCGUUUUGACAAGUUUGCUUCGGCUGAGGCCGCCUUUGGUAGACGUAUCCUACAACAAGUAGUCACACCAUCUGGGGGCCCGGCCCCUACUGACUCCCACCCUUAGGGACUCGAGAAGCUUUGGUACGUCCCAUUGGUGGAUUCUUCUUAAUCAUGCUGGAGAAGGAGCGUUGGCUUACCUGAACGCCUUUUCUCAGCAUGAUGAAGAAGAAUCCACGCCCUCCCUAAGUAGAAGUCAGUCAGGUCCGGGUGGGAUGGUUGUUCUGUUAGUUGUCGUUACUACCUGCUUGAGAGUCAUCACGUCGUACUGUUGUCAAUGGCUUCACCCGUCGAUGAAAACUGGGAGGUCCCCAGAUAAUGAGGAGGCGUGACAACUUGACAACUUGGUCUGAUUGGGCAGUAGGACUAAGAUAACCCAUUGGUGGAUUCUUCUUCAUCAUGCUGAGAAAAGGUGUUCAGAUUUUUACAAGUGCCUUGACUACAAAGCUGGAAGGUGGAUUAUUUUUCCAAAAAACGCAAAGACCAUGUGUGCAUACCUGUAGAAAUGGUUUGCGGCUUAAUCAAGCUGGAGUUGAC